GAGCGAUAUGCAAAAUACUAGAUUUGGUAGUAUUUUUUUGGAGGUUGAUAGGUCGAUAGGCGAAGGGGCAAGGCGAUCAACGGUGCCGGUGAGAGAGCGGGAGAAUGUAAGAGAGGGGAAUAUUGCGGGAUCCACGAGCCAGCUCACCCACACCCUCAAGAAUGCCAUGCGAUGCCCUUGAAUUUGGUUCAAGGGCAGUAGAAGAGAUGAGAUCAACUGCAGCAUGGGGGACUGCGUAGAGUAGCUACGCUGAACAUGCCGGCAGUGGGAAAAUAAACGUCGGCAGUGUUAGGGCGUUUUGUGUGUGUGACCGUUAAGGAAAAAAAAAAACAGACCGGCCAACGUAGAGGACCCUUUUACCCGAAUCGAAAUAAAAGUGAGUCCAGUCCAAAGGGAAAAUGAAUCCCAGAUUCAAUAUUUUUAAAACCCAUAGGGCGUAAAUUGUAUCGGCUGGCUUCCCGUAGAUGGGCCAAAAUUACGAUUCCCCGGCCCGCGGAAUCCUCGUCACACCCCUGAUCGGGCGCGACCCGCCACAGCGCCACCGACAAUUAAUAUAAUUAAUCUACGCCUACAU
rnacentral:lncRNA from 1 species